ensembl:lincRNA
GUUUUAACUCCAAAACAGAUGCUUGUAUGCCUUUGAUAAAAAUGGAAAUUUAAAAAAAUUAAGGGAGGGAUAGUAGGGAGGUGGGAGGAAGGGAGAUGUGCUUUUUACAGCUGGUGCUUCCUGACUAGUGACUAGGGGGAAAUGCUUGGGCUGAAGUGUACCCUUCUGAAUGCUGAGCUCCUUAACAGAACCCAGGAGGGAGAAGCCUGGGAAAGCGUCAGGCCCCGGCCCAGGAGGACACUUCAUUCUCGCAGGUCUUAAAGGUUUCAAAUGUUCAACCCCAGAACUGCUAUUGUCAUGAAGGAAUGAAGCCAAAGAGAAAUCUGAUGUGUCGGAAGGGAACUCUGCCAUGCGGACUUCACAGCACCAGGAUCACAAGAAGCUCUAAGACUUUCCGGGGGUUUAGUAUACCACUGCCUGCAUGUGGUGAGAAGAUAUCAGUAUUUAUUCAGGCACUGUUCCAGACCCUGGAGAUGUGGAGUCCCAGUCCUCUGAGAGCAAACAAGCAGUUAUAAUACCAUGUGACGAUUGCCAUAAUCCAGGUGAAUACUCUUUAAAAAAUGCUUAUAUACCGGACUAUGAUACGUAGACUAUCUCAGCACAUUCAAAAGAGCAGACAUUGUACAGAUGACAUUUCAGACCACAGUGCAGUACAAUGAGAGAUGAUUAACACCGUUUUAAGAAUACGUGAUGAUCUAUAACAAAAGGUUAGUACAUAUUUAAUUACUCUCUGGAUGGGCAAUGGC